CAGAGCCCCCUGGACCGGUGGCCAGGACCCGGGCAGUGUGAGUGCCACUGAAAAUCAGCUUGUGUGCCGCCUUUGGCACGUACAUGUGCCAUAGAUUGCUUACCCCUGAUUUAGUCUGAC